rnacentral:rRNA from 1 species
UAGCUAGUUGGUGAGGUAAAGGCUUACCAAGGCGACGAUCUGUAGCGGGUCUGAGAGGAUGAUCCGCCACACUGGAACUGAGACACGGUCCAGACUCCUACGGGAGGCAGCAGUGGGGAAUUUUGGACAAUGGGGGCAACCCUGAUCCAGCCAUGCCGCGUGAGUGAAGAAGGCCUUCGGGUUGUAAAGCUCUUUCGGCCGGGAAGAAAUCGCAUGGGCCAAUACCCUGUGUGGAUGACGGUACCGGAAUAAGAAGCACCGGCUAACUACGUGCCAGCAGCCGCGGUAAUACGUAGGGUGCGAGCGUUAAUCGGAAUUACUGGGCGUAAAGCGUGCGCAGGCGGUUUUGUAAGACAGGCGUGAAAUCCCCGGGCUUAACCUGGGAACUGCGUUUGUGACUGCAAGGCUAGAGUACGGCAGAGGGGGGUGGAAUUCCACGUGUAGCAGUGAAAUGCGUAGAGAUGUGGAGGAACACCAAUGGCGAAGGCAGCCCCCUGGGUCGAUACUGACGCUCAUGCACGAAAGCGUGGGUAGCAAACAGGAUUAGAUACCCUGGUAGUCCACGCCCUAAACUAUGUCAACUAGGUAUUGGGUGGGUAAAACCAUUUAGUACCGUAGCUAACGCGUGAAGUUGACCGCCUGGGGAGUACGGCCGCAAGGUUAAAACUCAAAGGAAUUGACGGGGACCCGCACAAGCGGUGGAUGAUGUGGAUUAAUUCGAUGCAACGCGAAAAACCUUACCUACCCUUGACAUGCCAGGAACUUGCCAGAGAUGGCUUGGUGCCCGAAAGGGAGCCUGGACACAGGUGCUGCAUGGCUGUCGUCAGCUCGUGUCGUGAGAUGUUGGGUUAAGUCCCGCAACGAGCGCAACCCUUGUCGUUAAUUGCCAUCAUUUAGUUGGGCACUUUAACGAGACUGCCGGUGACAAACCGGAGGAAGGUGGGGAUGACGUCAAGUCCUCAUGGCCCUUAUGGGUAGGGCUUCACACGUCAUACAAUGGUCGGCACAAAGGGUUGCCAAGCCGCGAGGCGGAGCCAAUCCCAGAAAGCCGAUCGUAGUCCGGAUUGCAGGCUGCAACUCGCCUGCAUGAAGUCGGAAUCGCUAGUAAUCGUGGAUCAGCAUGUCACGGUGAAUACGUUCCCGGGUCUUGUACACACCGCCCGUCACACCAUGGGAGCGGGUUCCGCCAGAAGUAGGUAGCCUAACCGCAAGGGGGGCGCUUACCACGGCGGGGUUCGUGACUGGGGUGAAGUCGUAACAAGGUAGCCGUAGGGGAACCUGCGGCUG